CCCUAGUCAGUGCGAAAGAGCCUGGCUGAGCUCGGAGCGGCCGGGGAGUGAGGCCAGGCUCAGCAGUUGCCAUGAAAACGAGACUUCGCCCGGUGCAACGUUUCCUGUCGCAUCCUGUACUAAUGAUUCCAAUGCAUCUCUGGCUUUCAGAUGCCUGGUUGCGCCUUGGAAGUUACCAUUUGGAAACAAUGAGUUUAAAACCUUUUACCUACCCAUUUCCAGAGACGAGAUUCCUUCAUGCAGGACCCAAUGUGUAUAAAUUCAAAAUCAGAUAUGGCAACAGCAUCAGGGGAGAAGAGAUAGAAAAUAAGGAUGUCAUCAUCCGGGAACUGGAGGAUUCUAUCCGUGCAGUCUUGGGAAACUUGGACAAUCUGCAGCCCUUUGUUACAGAACACUUCAUCGUGUUUCCCUAUAAAAGCAAGUGGGAGAGAGUUUCCCACUUGAAAUUCAAACAUGGAGAAAUUGUCUUGCUCCCCUACCCCUUUGUUUUCACUCUAUAUGUGGAAAUGAAAUGGUUUCAUGAAAACCUGUCACCUGGGAGACCAAUAAAUGACAGUCCUCUUGGCUUGGACUCUGGUUCUUCACUGAAGCUGCUAACUGAGAAGAAAACAGCAGGAGCCUCUGUGAGGAAACGAGGACUUGUGGAAGAACCCGGCUCCCCCCGUAGCACAGGGCUGCGCAGGGCCAAGAUGGGGACUUCUAGUCAAGAAAGCAGCAAAAAGAAGCCCCAUAUGGAAACCAGGAAGAACAAGGAAAGAAAACCCCAGCAGGCGACCCCAGACUCUGAUACCACUGAAGCCCAGGAACAGGGAUUGAACCCAGUGCCUCACACAUACUUGACAAAGUGCUCUACCACUGAACCACAACCCCAGGCCCCUUCCUCUGCUUCUGAUAGUGAAAUUGAUGAUCCUGCAUUUCCAGAAUGUUUCCAAAUAAGGUGGGCAGUAUUGUGGAAAAGUUGGAAGGGAGGUGUCUUUUCUGUGCAGCUGGAGAACCAUCUUGGGGAGCUUUCUCUCCCUCCCCCUCAAAUGUUAAUAUGAACACUCAGGGCACAGACAGGUGCUCUGCUAGGCCCGGGAAUGCAUAUGGAGGUGGUGUCCUUCCAACUUGCUGAUCUUUCACCCAGCAUGAUGAUUCAGUGUGGACUGUAGUUAUCCUAGAAGCAGGACACAAAGCAAGUGAGUUACUGGACACGCUGUCGUUCUGUGUGAAAACAUCAGCUGUGGUGAAUGACUGCGGAGUUGAGCUGUGUAAAUAUCUGUGGAACCUGGCUUUGAAAAUACUCCAAGGUCAGACGAGCAUCUCAUUGAGCUGAGAUGAAAUUGGGAAGGUCAGAGCAAACAAUUCACCUGGCUUUAAAGAAAUCUUGGCAUUUUCGUGUGAAAAUAGCCCAUGGACCAAUACCUUUUUCCUGCCUGAGUGUUUUCCUUACAGAUUCUAAAAAGGAACACAGCCUGCCAGGGCCAGUUGUCCCACCAUUACAGCAAAACAACCCACCUCCACCUAAAGAGCUAGGAACCAGUGGCUUCUUUGGGUUUCUAAGCACCAUCUUCCCGUUUCGAUAUUUCUUCAGGAAGAACAGU